AGAGUUUGAUCCUGGCUCAGGAUGAACGCUAGCGGAGCGCCUAACACAUGCAAGUCGAACGAACCUUGUUUUCUGAUUUUGAUCUCUUCGGAGUGAAGAUGAUGAGAACGCUGGUGAGUGGCAAACGGGCGAGUAACGCGUACCUAACCUACCCGAGAGACGAGAACAACUAUGGAGACAUAGCUAAUUCUCGAUACGCCCUUUUAUUAGUUUAUCAGGGGAAAGAUUUAUCGCUCACGGAGGGGGGUGCGUCCUAUCAGGUAGUUGGUGAGGUAAUAGCUCACCAAGCCUAUGACGGGUAACCGGUCUGAGAGGAUGUCCGGUCGCAAUGGAACUGAGACACGGUCCAUACUCCUACGGGAGGCAGCAGUGGGGAAUCUUGGACAAUGGGGGAAACCCUGAUCCAGCGACUCCGCGUGAAGGAUGAAGCCUUAUGGGGUGUAAACUUCUUUUCUGGAGGAAGACGAAUGACGGUACUCCAGGAAUAAGGGACGGCUAACUACGUGCCAGCAGCCGCGGUAAUACGUAGGUCCCGAGCGUUAUCCGGAUUUACUGGGCGUAAAGCGUCUGUAGCCGGAUAGUUAAGUCUACUUUCAAAUAUCCCAACUCAAUUGGGAAGA
rnacentral:rRNA from 1 species